GAUGAACGCUGGCGGCGUGCCUAAUACAUGCAAGUCGAGCGAACAGACGAGGAGCUUGCUCCUCUGGCGUUAGCGGCGGACGGGUGGGUAACACGUGGAUAACCUACCUAUAAGACUGGGAUAACUUCGGGAAACCGGAGCUAAUACCGGAUAAUAUAUUGAACCGCAUGGUUCAAUAGUGAAAGACGGCUUUGCUGUCACUUAUAGAUGGAUCCGCGCCGCAUUAGCUAGUUGGUAAGGUAACGGCUUACCAAGGCAACGAUGCGUAGCCGACCUGAGAGGGUGAUCGGCCACACUGGAACUGAGACACGGUCCAGACUCCUACGGGAGGCAGCAGUAGGGAAUCUUCCGCAAUGGGCGAAAGCCUGACGGAGCAACGCCGCGUGAGUGAUGAAGGUCUUCGGAUCGUAAAACUCUGUUAUUAGGGAAGAACAAAUGUGUAAGUAACUAUGCACGUCUUGACGGUACCUAAUCAGAAAGCCACGGCUAACUACGUG
rnacentral:rRNA from 1 species